AAAGAAAAAAGAAACCCUAAGCGCUGUUGUCUCUCUUUCUCUCUCGCAGGUGGGCGAUUUCUUCACGCCGUUUCUGCUGCUUUUGGUGAUUUCUUCAAGCCCGGUGGUUUCUACGCUGGUCUUCGUGGUUGUUUGUUUAGUCAUUUGUUCUUUUUUUUUUUGUUAACUAAACUUUUAAUUUUUCUUUCGUUCAGAUCUGACCGCACCAUUGCAUCUGUUCUCGUCCAUCUCUCUGCUUCCGCUCGGCCUCACGGCGAAGUUACUAAUAUGAAAUUUGACGAGGAGCCCAAGCUCAUCUCGAUUUCUGAAGAUGAGACAAAUCAUAGCUGAAAUUGGAGUGGUUUCCAAGGCUGACAGGUAUACACAGAUCUGAGCCAGGCCAGGGAACAGUGUAUCUUCUCGUCCAUCUUUCUGCUUCCGGUGACUCUCACGGCGAAGGAAAAAACACUUGGUGGAGACCCUUAACUUAUGUGUAGGAUGUAGAAUUAUAUCAGCUGUUGUUAAAGGAGUUCUAUGAGACCAUCCAUCCAUCUUCUUCAGAUGCGGCAAAAACAUCAUCCAGUAGUAGCUUCUUUUGAAUUUCUCAGCUGUGCUAACUCUGUUAAACAUGUUUCUCGCUCUCUCUCUCAAUUCUUCAAACUGAUUUAAAGAACUCCUUGACUGAUCCACUUUAUUUGUUUUUAUUUGAGACUAUAGUGUAGGUUCUAUUGUCUUGUUGUGUUGAUGGUUAGAGCUUUUGCGAAAAACUUGUAUGUUUAUGCCUGAUGUUAUGUUCCAACAUUGUUGUUUAUAUUGACGGUAGAAGUACUCCUGACAUGUGUUGGCUUUGAAGGUAUAUUAAGUUUAGUAGAAACAAACGAAUGAUGGUAUGUGAUUUUGUUGAAUGUUUAUGUUUACCUUCAGUGUGACUUUAUGAUCUACGUUGGUUGGCUUAAUGAGCAGCAGAGAUGAGGAAGAGAUGGCUGGGGCACAAGAUUCCACAUGCAACCUAGAAAGGCCCAUCACUGGAACGAGCAUAGGAAGACGAAGACAUUUUAUUGAGAAAGACGAGAGUAGUGUUGUUGCAUAGUUGUAGUAGUAGCAGCAGCAGUAGUAGUAGUAAUUUGUUUGCAUCUAACGUCAGUAUUUGUCUUGUGUAAUUUGUUUGCUUCAGUAUUUGUCUUAUUUUUACAUAAGAUUUUUGCACGACUGUCAAGACAUCAUGUAUUGUAAAAAUCUUAGAGAUUCUUAACACAUAUUAACAAAUAAUAUAACUUAGUAUAA